GUGCUCACUUUAGCAGCACAUAUACUAAAAUUGGAAUGAUACAGAAUAGAUUAGCAUGGCCCUUGAGAAAGGAUGACACACAAAUUCAUGAAGCAUUACAUAUUUUU
rnacentral:snRNA from 1 species